AUUGAACGCUGGCGGCAGGCUUAACACAUGCAAGUCGAGCGGAGGUGAGGUGCUUGCACCUUAUCUUAGCGGCGGACGGGUGAGUAAUGCUUAGGAAUCUGCCUAUUAGUGGGGGACAACAUUCCGAAAGGAAUGCUAAUACCGCAUACGCCCUACGGGGGAAAGCAGGGGAUCUUCGGACCUUGCGCUAAUAGAUGAGGCUAAGUCUGGAUUAGCUAGUUGGUGGGGUAAAGGCCUACCAAGCCGACGAUCUGUCGCGGGUCUGAGGGGUUGAUCGGCCACACUGGGACUGAGGCCCGGCCCCGACUCCUACGGGAGACAGCCGUUGGGAAUAUUGGACAAUGGGCGGAAGCCUGAUCUAGCCAUGCCGCGUGUGUGAAGAAGGGCUUUUGUUUGUAAAGUACUUUAAGCGAGGGGGAGGCUACCUAGAUUAUUACUCUAGGAUAGUGGACGGUACUCGCAGAAUAAGCACCGGCUAACUCUGUGCCAGCCGCCGCGGUAACAC
rnacentral:rRNA from 1 species